rnacentral:snRNA from 1 species
AUACUUACCUUGUGACGGGGACUCAUUGAUCACCAAGGACGAGCCCCCAGGCCGAGGCGCCAGCAUUGCACUGCGCUCGCGUUCACCCCUGUCACAACCCCAAACUUGGUCAGAUGACGCACGCAAAUUGC